CCAUGAUGCCAGGGUCCCUAAUCAUGGACUCCCCAAGAGCUGGCACCCACCAGGGCCCCCUAGAUGCAGAGACAGAGGUCGGUGCUGACCGCUGCACGUCGACUGCCUACCAGGAGCAGAGGCCCCAGGUGGAGCAAGUUGGCAAACAGGCUCCUCUCUCCCCAGGUAUGGGGGUCCUCAGCGGCGGGGUCCCCGGGUGAAGGAGGAAGCUGCUGGUGCAUGGGUGCCGGCUGCCCUCCACCCACAGGGCCCACUUUGGUGGUAGUGGCUGUGUCAGUCUUGCUCUGUCCUACAGGGCUGCUGGCAAUGGGGGGGCCUGGCCCCGGCCCCUGUGAGGACCCCGCGGGUGCUGGGGUAAGAGGCUCUAGACCCUUCACCUGUCAGUCACCUGAGGGAGGCUGAGGCCAAGCCCCAUCCCUCAGAAUCAAGGCUUGCAAGCCCCCCUCACCUGCCCAGUCUCUGUCCACACCCCUCGGGCUGAAGACGGCCCUGACCAGGCCCUGGGCCUCAGCGACCACCCCUCCCCCUCCUGCCUGGAUCCAGGGAGCAGGUGCAGGGGGCUCCGAGCCCCUGGUGACUGUCACCGUGCAGUGCGCCUUCACGGUGGCCCUGAGGGCACGAAGAGGAGCCGACCUGUCCAGCCUGCGGGCACUGCUGGGCCAAGCCCUCCCUCACCAGGCCCAGCUUGGGCAACUCAGGUGGGCCAGAAAGCCCCUGGUGGCUGCGGUGGAGCUGGGCACCGCCCCGACUGAGGCAGCUGCUGGAAGAGGGGGUGGCAGAGGUCACUGCCCUCCCUGCAGGCCCCACCCAGGAGGCCCCCUCUGAGGAAUCUCUUUGCAGUUACCUAGCCCCAGGUGAGGAUGGGCACUGGGUCCCCAUCCCCGAGGAGGAGUUGCUGCAGAGGGCCUGGCAGGACGCAGCUGCCUGCCCCAGGGGGCUGCAGCUGCAGUGCAGGGGAGCCGGGGGUCGGCCGGUCCUCUACCAGGUGGUGGCCCAGCACAGCUACUCCGCCCAGGGGCCAGAGGACCUGGGCUUCCGACAGGGGGACACGGUGGACGUCCUGUGUGAAGAGCCCGAUGUCCCCCUUGCAGUGGACCAGGCAUGGCUGGAGGGCCACUGUGACGGCCGCAUCGGCAUCUUCCCCAAGUGCUUCGUGGUCCCUGCCGGCCCUCGGAUGUCAGGAGCCCCCGGCCGCCUGCCCCGAUCCCAGCAGGGAGAUCAGCCCUAACGAUGCUGUGUCCAUGAUGCUUUUAAUAAAAAC
rnacentral:lncRNA from 1 species